rnacentral:rRNA from 1 species
CCUACGGGUGGCAGCAGUGGGGGAUAUUGCACAAUGGGGGAAACCCUGAUGCAGCGACGCCGCGUGAGUGAAGAAGUAUUUCGGUAUGUAAAGCUCUAUCAGCAGGGAAGAAAAUGACAGUACCGGACUAAGAAGCCCCGGCUAACUACGUGCCAGCAGCCGCGGUAACACGUAGGGGGCAAGCGUUAUACGGAUUUACUGGGUGUAAAGGGAGCGUAGACGGUUAUGUAAGUCUGGAGUGAAAGCCCGGGGUUCAAUCCCGGGACUGCUUUGGAAACUGGGUAACUGGAGUACGGGAGGGGCGAGCGGAAUUCCUGGUGUAGCGGUGAAAUGCGUAGAUAUAAGGAAGAACACCAGCGGCGAAGGCGGCCUGCUGGACUGAAACUGACGUUGAGGCUCGAAAGCGUGGGGAGCAAACAGGAUUAGAUACCCGUGUAGUC